rnacentral:rRNA from 1 species
AAUCAACGCUGGCGGCGUGCCUAACACAUGCAAGUCGAACGCGAAAGCCCCUUCGGGGGCAAGUAGAGUGGCGUCCGGGUGAGUAACACGUGGGUAAUCUACCUCCGGGUGGGGAAUAACUCGCCGAAAGGCGGGCUAAUACCGCAUAAUGCAGCGGCACCGAAUGGUGAUUAGUUGUUAAAGCGGGGGACCUUAGGGCCUCGCGUCUGGAGAGGAGCCUGCGGCAGAUUAGCUUGUUGGAGGGUAAUGGCCUACCAAGGCUGCGAUCUGUAGCUGGUCUGAGAGGGCGGCCAGCCACACUGGCACUGACACACGGGCCAGACUCCUACGGGAGGCAGCAGUGGGGAAUUUUGGGCAAUGGGCGAAAGCCUGACCCAGCAACGCCGCGUGAAGGAGGAAAUCCUUCGGGAUGUAAACUUCACAAGCAAGGGAAGAGCGCGCAGGGUCGAAUAAACUCUGCGUCCGACGGUACCUUGCGUAAGCCACGGCUAACUACGUG